CAACCCUGUAUGAGGUUUUAAAGUUAAACUGUAUACUUAGCAGACCUAAAUGUAACAAAGUUGUGACCUUUUCUCAUUCAUUAAUCAUUGCCUAAGUUUAGGCGGGAAAUCCAGUCUUGCAGCUACAAAUCUUAUUGAAAAGUAUUGAGUAGAAUUUGUUAUCUUCUAGCUAUGUAAGACCACAGCCACGGAGUCCCGAUUCAAGAUGUAAUAGAAUUGGCAAAGUUGAUGAAGCUGGAUAUCGGACUAUUAAUGAGGAUGAAGAAGGGAGAAACUUGUUGCUAUUGGGCAGUGUCAAUGAAAUCUAAAAACCAUAAUUCAAUUGUAAGAUAUUUAUUGAAUAUCUAAAAGGUCUCAUCAAGUUGUGAUCAACUUAAAAAAGAGAACUUUUUAUAAGGAAGCAAAGCAUGCAUACAGAAAACAUUGACAUUGUAUAUAAACAACAUAUGCCUUUUUUUCUCUUACCAUGAACAGAUGCAUGCAUGCAUGUAAGCAACCACAUGCAUAUGGUAUUGCCAGGCCUAUAUUUCAACUUUCUUAUUUGAAUUGAGUUUCUAUCUUGUUUUCUUGGACACUCUUUAUUGACCAACAUUCUUAAUCAUACCAUGUUAAUGAAAUAGAGUUUAUGGCCUUGUGAUAUGAGUCAUUUGGGUGUGUCAUGUAUCUGAUGCAGUUACAAUUACGUAAGAUGAAUGUAGAGCUACAUGUAAUUAUUUCAUCAUGUGAUGUAAGUUGAAUAUUUUCAAGCACUAGCUCAUUAAGAAAUUUGGGUCAAUCAUUCACAUAAUCUAUAGUUAUUAGAUACUAUGCAAGUUUAUCCAUCAAUUGUACUAAACUCAUAAUGGAAGGUGGUAAGAGAAUCUAGCAUAAUCAUAAUACCCUCGAAAGGAAAAAAUAUGCGUUGAUUGUAAAUAACAACCCGUCUGGCCAUAUAUGAAUUUAUUAUGUUUUUGCUGGAUAUUCUUGCAUGUUUUAUGAUAGGUUACUGAUGGUUAUUUUUUUGACUUCCAUCAGACCAUCGGUUACAGGGCAAAACAUGCCAAGUUAGUGGAUGCCUGUAAAUGUGACAAUGUCUAACAUUCUCGCUGGCAAAAUUCUUGGUGAUGUAGGAUCAUCUAGAUGGUAGGGAUCUGUAGGAUGUAGGGAAGCAAUCUUAAACCUACAAGUUGCUGGAAAUUCCAGCUUAGUAGCAAGUUCAGGGGUUUAAAUACAACAAAGCAAUCAGUUAUAUUUUUGGCUAGAAAAAGGAGUCCAUUGGUAGAUUAUGAGGCUAGACUCAGGAAGAAAUAAGAAAGAUAGUAAUGGCAGAUUUUAUUCUACAGCAUUGCAGAUCUGAGACACUAGUGGCAUUCGCGGCAGCAAGGUUAGGGUUUGCAGGGAUCAACCAUGGGUUGUGAUGGAAGGCUUAGGUUCGCUGUAAUAUGAGAAUGAGGUUUGCUGUGAUAACAGCCUUGAUCUGACCUAAAAAUAGACCCUGACAGCUGAUUGUUUACCUUCCACUUAUGGCAAGCAGUGGUUCAAUGGCAAGGGAAUAGCUUUAUUUGCUGCUAGAUCUACAGGCUCUGAGCGUCUAGUAUGGUUCUGUGGCAGAUUAGUUCACAGCAAUAACAACAGAACAACCAGGCGACACAAAAUAAAGAAGAGAAGUAAAACUGGAGACAGUAAAAAGUAGCAAAGGGAGAGGAAAGAUAAAACUGGACUCGCUCCAGGAUCUAGGAAUGACACCUAGGAUUUGAAGACCUCAUACUUUCUUUGCAGAGUCAUAUCACAAGAGUAGAGGAAAUCAAAGUCUCCAUUCUUUUAUUCAUAAUCUGCAUAAAUUCUGGUUAUAGCAUACCCUAAGGGUCCCUUUUAUAAUAAAAUAGAAGCCUUAGUUCGAUUAUAGUUUAAAAUCCCCAAAAACUACCCCUAAUAAAUCCCAGUCACUGUUCAAUAUUACUAAAGCAGUGAACAAUGGUGCUACAGAAAAUAGGUCUCAUCAAGCUAACAAUUAAAUAUUGAGAUCUUUUAAUCUCAUCCUUUCAUGUUAAAAGACCUAGCAACAACUAAAAAUAACCAGAAAUAAACAGAAGAAAACAGAAAAUUGAUGACUAUAAUUGUGUCUAAGAAAAAUCUCAUGUUUGCAGCCCUUCAAUGCACCAUGACAUGUUCUCGAUCUCCAUCACUGAGUAAACAUUAAUUAUGUUUCUUAUUCUCUCCAUUUUCUUAAUUCUCAACCCAUGAAGCUAGGCAUUUGAACUUUUUUUGCCCUAGAUUCUUGUGAUACUUUCUUGGAUUUUUUAUUCCUCUUGAUUUGUUUAUCAUAAAUCUUGUUUUUUAGUGUUCUUGUUGCUUUGUCUUUUAAAAUCAUCGCAAUAUAACAUUUGCAUUUGUUUGGAAAGUGUAAUCGUUCUUUCUGCUGAUUAUAUGUUACAACGUAUGCUUGUCUGUACAUUUUCAAUAUUUGUGCUUUUCUUUUAUAGUAGGUUCUCAAUCAAUUGCAUAUAAAUAGUCAAAGAUACAGGCAAUCCUAAUGUGCUUGCUGCACUAUCAUUGUAAGUUCUGUAAUUGCCUUUACAGGCUUCAUAUCCUAAAGAGUAGUUCAUUCACUUCAACACGUGUUAUGUUUCUUGUUUCAUGGCUUAUAACUAUUGUGAAAGACUUGAACGCUUACAAGCAUGGUUUGCUGUACCGGUCAGCACCCAUAGUGGUACUAAAGCAAUAUGUAGUGUGGGCGGUGCACUGAGUGUCGGUACGCUGAACCAGCCAACAUACCAGUUGUACCGACACAAUAGCGAGAUGGUAUUGGUAUAGGGUCCGGUGCUGGAUGGUGAACCUUGCUAGUAGGGGAAGAUUUAAUCACCGAGCAAAAGAUUUUCAAGUUUCAACCUUUGGAAUGAUGUUUAAUGCCUCAAGCAGUACCAUUUUUUGAAUUGUUUGCAAGGCACUUCAUCCACUCCUGACCAAUUUUAAGAAGAUUGUAUUAAAUUUUCCCUUGUCAAUUCCAUUAUCGUGCAAUUUUGAAGGCAAUAGAUAUUGGAUUUUGGAAUAUGUGAUAAGAAAAUGGAUCACAACCACUUCUAAACAAUGUUUGGGUGAUACUAACCUCUAGCAACCUUAAUAGGUCAGCCUUGACCUAUUGCGAAUUGACUUUUUAAUUCUGUAAUCAUGGUAACUUCAUGAUGCAGGCAGUGACCCCUAUAUUCAAGAACCCAAGGUCUACAAGUCCAAGAAGAGGCCCAAAUAACAGACUUAAAAUGCAUGAGGGAUCUGGCAGUGUUGAGAUGACAUUGAAUCCAAUUAGCACAAUUCAGUCUCAUUAUGCAAAUUCUUGUUAUGGGAGAGGGUGAUCUAAAAUGGAGCACUUCAUGAAUUUCAAGACAUUCUAGGAGACCAAAUGGUAACUACUAACUAAUGGUCAGCAACGAUAACCUACUUCUGACCACAAGACAUUAAACACCAGUGUUCCUAGCUAAGUAUCAGAGUAAUCACUGAAAAAUCAUAGAGCAAACUCAGAUGUUGAAGGUUCAUCAAUUCUUGGAUGCAGACUUGAGCCAUUAGCUGUUCAUUCUGGACUUUCAGGAAAGAAAUUUUUCCUUUUCACUUUAAAAACCGAUCAUGUAUAUGAUUAGAGCAAGAUAUCCAGUUCUAUAUUUCACCCAUUAAUGAUCAAAGAGGUAGGGAUUCGAAUAUUGAGAGAACAGAGAUCUCUUAUAAAUAUGCACUAAAGUUUUCAUAAUCUCUGUCAAUUCUGCAGCUGAUAAUGAGGGAGGAGAAAGAGACCUUGAAUUGGAGGAAUACCUGAAAGGUUUAAAUUCUUGAAUUAGUUAACACCUAUGUAGAGUUGUCUUCCUAUUCAUGUAAGCACUUGAGAGGUUGAUGCUUGGAAACAUUGUGCUCGAGAGUAGGUAGGAAGUAGUGAUACUUCAUUCUGCAAGGGCAACUUUGCUUAUGAUUUGGAACUAGUGGACUUCUUAAAUUGAUAAUAAACUCUGAAUCGCUCAAGCCUUGCAACAAGAACCGGCUAUGCCCCACCAGUUUAUGGAUUUCAAAUGCUGGGUAAUUGAUGGGUGGAUUUACACUAGGAAAUAUAUUGGCGACCAAAGGAAUCAGGCACUCAGCACCACUAACUCUUCAAAUAGAGCUUUUUUGCUUCUAAAUAAAAAUUCAAAGGAGAGGAGUGAUUUGAAAUGAUAAUAAUGCUAAAUCGAUGAUUCCCAAUCCUCUUGUUGCUUGGAGAGUGCAACAUGUUGGUUGGUGUUGGUGCUACAACAACGUAUUCUUUGUUUUAAAUGUUACGAUAUAAUUCAAACUCAGUAAAUUUUGGAAUCUUGAGUUACAUAUUUAAUUUGUUUUAGAUUUUGCAUGUUAUAUUUACCAGCAUAUGGCUGAAGGAAGCAGCUGGAAUUUUUAUUUGGAAAUGGAUAUAUGUCCAAAUAAAUCUUCUUUCCAGUUCUUCGGUUUGUCCUUAGUACUCCUUGAAUGAGUUUUUUCUCUUAAAUGAACACUGCAAAGCUUAAUGUCUUUAGAAGUAUUCUAGUAGCAAAUUUCUGAUGCCUUACUUCUACACUGUAAGAAAUGGUAUAUAUAGGAUCUAUGCUUGAGUUUGGUCACUAAUUGAUUGUUUGUGUCAUGUAUUCUCAAUACCAUAUUUCAGCACAGCCAUAUCUGUUUUUUGCACAUAUAUCUGUAAAUCAGGUUCACUUACAAUACUGUAGAAAGAAUUCAGUUUAGUCCAUGAAGAGUAACUGUUGAUGGAAUACCUCUCUCGGUGGACCUCACAUACUCAAAGACCAAAUCCUUGUGAGCUUGGGCCAAGGUAUAUAUCCAUGAGUAUACUUUCUCCUCUGCUUCAGAGCGGGUUCCACCUUCACGGCUCUCUGAAGAUUUAGCAGCAGAGCAAAACUAUCUCACACAUGACAGAAGAAGAAAAAGGUGUAUAAAGGUGUAAAGAAGCUGCAUUACUUGCAGUUGACAGAUGUUGAGAAGCAGAUGAAGUGUAUGUUGCAGUAUUGGUGAUUGUGGUUUGAAGAAUUGGUGUUAAGAGGUGAAAUGGAAGGGUCUCUCUGUGAUGUGGUCUUCUUCUUCUCUUCUAACUACCAAACUCACGGGAGACUGUUAGGUGCAUUUGAAAGUCAAAGAAGCGUUUUCCAUUAGAUAUUUUCUGAAGAAACUGCUGCUUGCACUUACCAGUCUCCUACGAGGAGAGCUACAUGAGUGUCUGAUGCAUUUGACUUGGUAAGUUAACUGUACUGCACUCACAGGUUGCACAACAGUAGAAAUUAAAACAAGAAGGAAUGUCAUUGAUAAAUAACUCAUUGCACCUUAACGUUCGGAGAUUUAAUGGUCUCACAGAACUUCUGAUCUGGCUAGUGUAGACAACAAAAGAUUAAGUAAAAUCAAGUUAAAAUUGUCCUGCUCC